ensembl:lncRNA
GCUUACAGUUGUUAGCCAGCAACCUGUUGAUGGAUUUAUAAAAUGGUUAGUUUGAGUUCAUGUUUACUUCUCUACAACUCUUAACCCGCUCGAAAUGUGUCCUGCGCAUUCAACAGUUGGUCACAGUUUCUGGUUUUAACGCAUCCCUGACUGUAAGUAGGCCACCUCUCUUUGAAUAAACCCCGAGGAACGUGCACGAUUCAAGGUUUCUUCAGCCUCUUCACUCUUAUGAUAUGACACCCCUGAUCAAAUCCAACAGAAAUCAGAGCUCCUCCUCAGACAGCUAACAGGUUCUAGCUGGUAUACAUAUGGCUGCUGAGGUGGAAGUCCAGUCUGGAGAGGUGGGGAGGUCUGGGGGGCGCCUGCACCUUAGUCCACUCAUGGACUCAAAUAAUAAAAACUGCCUGGAUCUGUCCACCAUGAACCAGUCUCAAUUCAUCAGUCCUGAACCAAGCAAACCUGUCCCGGGCCCCAAGCCACGUCUGACCCCCAAACCCUUUGCUGUUGACAGAAAUCCCACAAUUAAACCCAUACUUGCCCCCAAACCGCAACCAAAGCCCCGUCCAGAAUCCACUAGUACACCUGGAUACAAACCAGAUCUACCUAGUACCCCAAAACCUCAAACACCAUCCACAACUAACCAACCUAAACCCACUAUGACCAAUUCCACCCGUCCCACUUCAACAACUUUCAAAACCUCCAAGUUAAAUACAGGGCAAACUACCAAGCCAGUUGCUCAACCUUUUAAAGCAGCGCCUCCUAUCGCUGGUGAUCCAAGUAAGCCAAUAUCCCCUUCUCCAAAACCUUUAGAUUUGACUUACUCGAGAAGCCUUAAAAGACCACCCUCCGCAGAGUGGUCUGGGUUGACGAAAAGGGAGGAGGGUGAUUUGGAGUCACCUAAUAAAGUUGGGACAUCAAUUACAAGGGCGAAAUCUAUGGGGUAUCUUUUACAAAUAGGACAAGAGGAAAACGAUAAGACCAAAUCUGAAACAUCUGUUUUGCUUAGACCCCAGCCCAGAGGCAUCAGGCAGAGACCGGUAUCAGCAAUUUUCCCAAUGAGUCCAACCAAAACUGAUUCACCAAAUUCUGCUUUCCCACGGACUGAAAGAAGACCUCUGUCAGCAGAUCUAACUUCCAAAUUUGAGUCUAUGGGUCUUUCUUUGCACCAUACAACCCCAAAAGAAAAUGAAAAUACUCCAGAUGAAAAUUUGCAAAAGAGAGAGCAAGAGAAAACAGUCAAGACAACACUUCAAAAUACAAAUGCUACAACCAUUAAAACAGACCAAUGCAAUGACAAUGUACAAGCAAAAGAUGCUGAGGAAACCCGUGGGGCUAGUAUCAAAUCAAGAAUUAGCCUUCUGCUUGAUUCGUCUUCCCAAGUGUCAUCUGCCACGGGACAAACUCUGGAUACUGAAGCUGAGCCUGCAGUAGGGGUCAAACAGCUCAUUAAGCAGCUCACUGUGGACCAAAUCACCCCAAAUCAGAGCCCUGUGUUAAAACCAGCCCUGAAACCACGCCCCCUGCCCCUUGACCUAACCAAAAGGUUUUCGCCUGAUCCUGCGUUUUCUCCAAAUGACACUACAGAUCGCCAUGACACCAGCAAAGCUCUCCAGAGGAGGGGGGAAGAUUCAGCCAGGACACCUAGUGAUGAAAAGACAUUUGUGGAUUUAAAAGACUUCCCGGAUCAAAUGAAAACACCUAUGUCUGAGAGGCCUGACUUGAUGUUGUCUCCAAAGGAAAGCGAAGCCCUGACAGUUCGAGCUUCUGUGUUUGAAAAUGUCAUAGAAAAGCACAAUGUUUUGAUGGUGGAUGAAAAUAAAAAUGAUAAACCAAUACUUGAUAAAACCAAUGAAGAGGGAAAGCUUGUCACUGCCACCUACAAGGAGCCGAUAUCGCCGUCAGGGCCAGUUUGUAUAGUGCAUGCAUUUGACACUGUCCCAGCUGCAGAGGGGAGCACAGUGAUCAGUGAAAACAUCCCAUCUGCCCAAUGGGAGGACAAAGCCAUGACGCUACGUUUAAGGCGCUCAGAAGGGACAAAAACCACACCUGACAAAACAAGUCCAGAACCAAUUUCAACUGCCCCGAGAUAUCUACGAGUGGGGGCCCUGCCAAAAUGGACCUUAGAUGAUGACAUUGAUAUGGAGACAGGAAUGCCAAAAGAUAAACCAAGAGAUUUUGAGGUAGAGGAUCCAUCUGCUGCCGCUGCUAAACGCUUGAAGACACAACAGACAGAGGAACAAGCAAAACCAAGAGCGACCUAUUUUGCCUUGACUGGACAAAUGCAGGAAACACUCACAACCACAUCGGUCGCUGCAGAUAAUGUGUCUUUUUCUGACCCCUUUGCCCAGUUGAGUUCCCAAGGGAACGUUUUACCGUUUAAAAGGAAUCCAUCUUUAGAUGAAACCUUUAAUAAAAUAUCUGAAAGUGAUGCUGAUAACAUUCCCAGUAAAUCAAAUAUAGAGGCUCAAAGUGAAAAGCAAAAACAACUUCAAGUGGAAAGAGAGGCAGAGUUAGAAUAUGGCAGAUUGAAGGAGAGGGAGAUGCAGCGUGAGUAUGAAAAGCAGCGGCAGAAAGCAUUUGAGAAAGAGAAGCAGGAAUUUGAAGAAAAACAACGUGUGCUCGAGAUCCAGAAGCAGAUCGAGCUGGAACGACAACAGCAUCUCAAAUUUGAAAAACAAAGACAACUUGAGCUCAAGAGACAGAGACAACUUGAAAUGGAAAGGCAGAAACAAUUAGAAGUGGAGAGGCAAAGGCAAAAUGAAUUGGAACGGCAGAAGCAGGUGGAAGUUGAAAGGCAAAAGCAGGCAGAGCUCGAGAGACUAAGGCAAAUUGAGUUGGAAAAGCAGUGGCAGAUAGAGCUUGAAAAGCAAAGACAGCUUGAGCUAAAAAAGCAGAAGCAGGAACUUGAAAGGCAGAAACAACUAGAAUUGGAGAAUCAGCGACAAAUAGAGAUGCAGAGGCAACGGCAGUUAGAAGCUGAAAAACAAAGGCAGAUGGAGCUGGAGCGACAGAGGCAACAGGAGCUGGAGCGACAGAGGCAACAGGAGCUGGAGCGACAGAGGCAAC